rnacentral:rRNA from 1 species
CAACUGUGUGAAUUAAUGCGAACUGCAUACUGCUUUGAACAUCGACAUCUUGAACGCAUAUUGCGGCCAUGGGUUUGCCUGUGGCCACGCCUGUCCGAGGGUCGGCUUAUAAACUAUCACGACGCCCAAAAAGUCGUGGCUUGGGUCUUGCCAGCUGGCGUGAUUUCCCUGCGCUUUCGUGCGGGGUGCCAGAUCUAUGGCUUUUCCUCAAUGUGCCGA